CCUACGGGGAGCAGCAGUGAGGAAUAUUGGUCAAUGGACGAGAGUCUGAACCAGCCAAGUAGCGUGAAGGAUGACUGCCCUAUGGGUUGUAAACUUCUUUUAUAUGGGAAUAAAAUGUUCCACGUGUGGGAUUUUGUAUGUACCAUAUGAAUAAGGAUCGGCUAACUCCGUGCCAGCAGCCGCGGUAAUACGGAGGAUCCGAGCGUUAUCCGGAUUUAUUGGGUUUAACGGGAGCGUAGGUGGAUUGUUAAGUCAGUUGUGAAAGUUUGCGGCUCAACCGUAAAAUUGCAGUUGAAACUGGCAGUCUUGAGUACAGUAGAGGUGGGCGGAAUUCGUGGUGUAGCGGUGAAAUGCUUAGAUAUCACGAAGAACUCCGAUUGCGAAGGCAGUUCACUGGACUGCAACUGACACUGAGGCUCGAAAGUGUGGGUAUCAAACAGGAUUAGAUACCCGUGUAGUC
rnacentral:rRNA from 1 species